AUGCAGAGGGAUGUCCUUGAAUGGGAGAAGUUCAUGAAGCGCUACUCUCGAGACUAUUUCCGUAGGUCAUGUGUUGGAAUUGUUCAUAUAUGGCACAAUGAUCAACUAUGCCAGGACAUGGGAUGCAACCCAAGAAGGAAGAAGGGUUUUUUCUCUGAAUUAUUUGAGCCUUAUGGUCCUUGUGAUUAUGUUAAUCUUCAGCCCAAGUAA
rnacentral:rRNA from 1 species